rnacentral:rRNA from 1 species
UACGGAAUGUGCAAACGUUAUUCGGAAUCACUGGGCUUAAAGAGUCCGUAGGCGGCAUGUUAGGUGAGGUGUGAAAUCCCACGGCUCAACCGUGGAAUUGCGCUUCAAACCGGCGUGCUUGAGGAAGAUAGAGGUGGGCGGAACUGAUGGUGGAGCGGUGAAAUGCGUUGAUAUCAUCAGGAACACCGGAGGCGAAGGCGGCCCACUGGGUCUUUUCUGACGCCGAGGGACGAAAGCUAGGGGAGCGAACGGG